GUCCACGCCGUAAACGAUGGGUGCUAGACGUUGGCGGGCUUGCCCGUCAGUGUCGCAGCUAACGCGUUAAGCACCCCGCCUGGGGAGUACGGCCGCAAGGUUGAAACUCAAAGGAAUUGACGGGGGCCCGCACAAGCGGUGGAGCAUGUGGUUCAAUUCGACGCAACGCGAAGAACCUUACCAGCCCUUGACUUGUGGCUCGCCGGCUCUGGAGACAGAGCCUUCGGUUCGGCCGGAGCCAACACAGGUGCUGCAUGGCUGUCGU
rnacentral:rRNA from 1 species